CAGCAGCCACAACUUCCUCUGGAGUCAGUGGGACCAGUGGAGCUGGAAGCCCUGCAGGAACCACCACCAAAGCAGCAGAGAGACCAACAGGCACUGCUGGAGAAUACAGGACUCCAACUGCUG